AAAUAUAUUUGUAUGGUGAUCUCUUUCCCAACAUCCCAACCUGUUUUUCAACUUCCAAGUUUUAUUUUUUCCUUUUUUUAAUGUUUUCUCAAUAUAGUUUUAUUUUUUCUUACUUCAAUUAAUUUCAUUCAACACAAUAUUACAUAAAUAUUUUUUUUCAAUUUUUUUAAUCUUUUUACUAUUUCAAUUAAUUAUCUAUUUUUAAUUUUCAAAAUAGUUUUUUAAUCUACAUAAUUAACUAUUUAAUUUUUUUACCAUUAACUACUUUUAACUUUAUACGGAAUUAUACUUUUUUAGUUACUUAACUAAUUAAUAAAAAAAUAUAUCUUUAUUUAUUAUAAUUAUUUUUUUUCCUUUUAAAUUGCACACAUCUGAUGGGGAUAC
rnacentral:lncRNA from 1 species